CUUUCUGUUGGUCAACGCUGCGGAUCCACACGACCGACUUGAACCUUGAAUCUGCAUACGGGAACUUUUUCUGCCCUCAUGUGAAAUUCCUGAAUGCGUGGAUUUCUUUGGAAAGGACUGGAUUUCUCUUUAAAAAAUAAAAUAAAAUUCACUGAACAAUGUUAAAUGUGACCGCACCUUGAUACACGUGAUGCUGUCUAGGUAGACGACUUGUACUUUAGUAUUUUUACUUUUUAAUGGUUUCUAAAAUAUUGGUAUACGAACCAAAACCUGAAAUACUUAGUAGAAUGUCAGAACUUUUUUUUUUUUUUUUUUUUUUUUUUUUUUGCCUAAUAACCUGUUUAUUUGGUAUAUGGUUAAUGUAAGAAAGACCAUCAGCCUGUUCGAUACCAAUCAAGCACACAGGACCUCAGCCGAAGUAUCUCAGAAUGGCCAUGUGAUCAGUUUUACAUUUGCUUCCAGUGCGUAUUUUUAUUGUCGUUAUUACUUUUUGAUACUGUGUAUUUGAAAAACAUGUAUGGUUUGGUUUAUUGUUGUCAUUCAUGUGCUCUGUAUUAUGAUGACUUCUUGAUAUUUGUCUUUGGUAAUGACUGAAAAUUCAGAAUAGAUAGAAGGUAAUUAACCCCUUUUCUAUACUAAUUUACAUGUGUUUUUCUUGUUAUUAAAGUAGAGAAAGUAAAAUGAAUUGUAAUGUUAUUUAGCAUUAUUUGAAAUUUGGUCACAGUUCAUGUUGCAGCAUUGAAACUACCAAGUGUUGAUUUUAAAGCUGAAGUGUGUAAUCUUUUGGGAAAACUGUAUGAGAAGCAUCAUUGUUUUUGCAAUUUCGCUUGGUUACGAUACAUUUGAACCAGUUACUGUUCACCAGCUGUUUAAAAUUAAACACUACUUGAAACUGGAUAGUAAGCACAUAAAUUGAAGAACAUGCUACCCCAAAUCUUUUCUUCUUUCCUGUUUACAUAUGCUCGUGUUAUUGAUGUGCAUUUUCGUUGUAAAGUUCUGUAGUAUUUUUUUGGUAGUGCUGGGAAUUCUUUUAAGAUGCAUGAGCGUACUUCUUUUAGUCAAUAAAGUAAUAUGAUGUCAACUUUUAUGACCAUGGUACUAUUUACGUUUUUGCUUCGUAGUAUUGUGACGUUCUUCAUUUUCCAUCUGUUUUGCUGUUGAAUUCUUUUGUAAAUUGAGUAAUGAGCUGCUGUAGCUGAAUCACUGGACUCUCCAGACUGUGCUUUUGAAUGUUCCACACAACGCAACAUGUUUUUGUCACACAAAAAGUCUGUACAGCUGAUUUUAUUCAACAUAAUGAUAGACACACCAUUCGUGCUUCAUUUUCUUGAAUGUUUCCUGGUAUGUACAUUUGGAAUGACCAUGUGAUCAGUUUAGUUUGUGGUGGUUGAAGUGCUUUUGAGUGAAUGAAGCUGGAUGGUAGAACUCUUCCGCAUGCUCUCACUGCAGUUAUAUGGUUUUCAAGUGCAAAUUGGCUCAGUCUGGUGUGUUGUUACAGGAACUACUGGUACCACUGUAUGCACUGUGAACUGAAAUAAAUUAUAUAUGUCCAUACAA